ensembl:lncRNA
GUGUCUGUAAACACACACACACACACACACACACACACACAAACAAGUAAAAAUGUACAGCUUUUCAACAGUGUGUUCAAACACACACACACACACACACACACACACACAAACAAGUUAAAAUGUACAGCUUUUCAACAGUGUGUUCAAACACACACACACACACACACACACACAAAAACAAAUAAAUAUGUACAGCUUUUAAACAGUGUGUACACACACACACACACACACACACACACACACACAAUAAAAUAUACAAUAAAAAAGUAACUGACAACAAGACUAGGAAGUAGCCUAGUUUAACACAGGCUACAAUAAGACUGACACAUGGCCUACUAUACGUGGUUAAUCGGUGAUGGCCUAAGAUUUCAAUAAAAACAUUAUCUACACAUUCAUAAUCUGCACAUUAUCUAAUCCUCCCAUGCUACUGGUCAGUGUACAAUAUCCAGCCACAGAUUUUUAUAACACUAAAAAAAAAAUCACCUUUUGUUUGUUGUACUGAUUGGCGAUGAUUUAUUUUUUUUUUUUUAAUUGUGCACUUUUUUGUGAUUUUUCCCAUGUGUUUUUAUUUUAUGUAUGUUCUGAAUAAAUACUUACUAUACGAGUUAUCUCUCUUAAAUAAUAUAAUGUUUUUCAAGUGCACGCGGACACGCCCCCUUGUUUCCGUGGAAACGUGCGCACUGCGCAGUUUCACUUUCACUUAACAACGAAGAACGGUCGAGUCUUUGCAGCAGUAUCUUAUCCUGGCGAACGCAUUUAUGCAGUCAUGGACAGUGUUAAGAUGGACGUGAAGGAAAUGGUUAUUGAAGUCAAUGAACUUCCAGACGACUACCCCAAUAAUAAAAUGAUUGACAAAUUAACCAUGCACUUUCUGAGGCCCAGAAACAACGGUGGAGAGGUUUUAAUAGUGAUAUAUCCCACCUCCAACAAAGGCCAGGCUUAUGUUGUUUUUGAUUCAGAAGUACUCCGAGUCUUGGACCAUAAUCAUGUUUUGGAACUGGAUGGUCAGUUUUACCCACUGGAUGUUAAAAAGAUACAUCAGCCUAAGUUUGACGUGCCAGCUGAAGCAUUCCUUGAUGUGAGCAUGUUCUACAGUCAGAAAAAGAUCCGAAAUCUUCUUCAUAGCCACGGCUUUGAUGUGUCAGAGACCAGUUCAGGACAGCUGCACUUGCAGGGAACCUUUCUUAACCUAAAACGCAUCCAUCCCAAACUCAUGCAUCUCCUGGCCCAAGAAACCCACUUGCAAAGAAGCAAACCUUCGCAAUGCACUAAUGGCUUCUCGUCUGACUCUGUCUCCAGUGAUUUUGAAUCUAGAUCUCAUUCCACGUCAAGGCACAGUCCCAAUGGCCACUCAGUGUAUGCUGCAGGCAGAAACCCACAUUCUGGAAUAAACUCAAGAUCCCAAGAGUCUCCAAACGGGCAGGCACUCAUGCAGGCUGCCUCUCCACUGGAUGUUAGUUUAAGCACAGAGAGUUCCUUCAGCAUUCCCACCAGGAGCUAUGAGGAUUUCAGCGUAAGCGCUCGGCAGAAAAAUCCCUCGUCUCACAGGAAAACUGAGGAUUCCUUCCCUGUGGAUCCACUCGCAUUCAAAUACGUAAUGCACUUUAAGAAAGAUUUUAUCGAAAAAAUAGAAUCUGAUCACCAAACUCAUAUUAGCCAUGUAGACAAUUCAGGAGUUGUUAUGGUUAAACUUUCAGGAGUAUUCUGUGAGGAAGCAGGUAAAGAAUUGCGUGAAUUCAUGCAGAACAUCAGCUCAUCUUUACGCACGCAAGAAAUAGACCUGCAUAAACUUAACAGGAGUCAAAAAAAACACAUUACUGAGAAGGCUUUCUCAUUCCAAAAGAUCUACAAUGUUUUAAUUAGGGAGGAAAAUGAUAUUCUCAAAGUGGUGGGUUCCUCUAAAGACAGUUAUGAAGCGAUGGAAAGGCUUCUUGGACAGGAGGUUAAUAUUGCUUUGCCAAGACAUUCCGCAAGGAACUCUUUGCGACGGAGCAACUCUUUGCCAAGACAAAAAACAAGGUAUAGCGAGGAGAACCCAGACUUGGGAGGAAUUCCUGAUGCUGUGUACACUACUACUGUUAGUAGCUCCUCUGCCUCUCAUUCCCGGACUGACCCUCAGUUACAACCAGAAGAACAACAGGAAAGAGGUCGCAAGUCCUCUAAAUCCUCUGCACAAUGUGGCAGGGCACACAGCGCCUCUCGAUUACAACACAAAAAUGAAAGCAGAGUAAACCGAGAACCAUCAGCUCAUGAUAAGCAGGAUUUGACACCCCCUCAUGAAGUUCAGAUAUUUAAAAACAGGCCCGUUCCUAAAUUUAUGGCUGCUCUUACUCCUAAAAGAAAGAUCAAUUUCAAAAAAGAAGUUUAA